rnacentral:misc_RNA from 1 species
CCGUAGGUGAACCUGCGGAAGGAUCAUUAAAGAAUCGCCCCGUUUUUUGAAAUGGGUUCUAUUCCCAAACCGUGUAUACAUACCUUUGUUGCUUUGGCAGGCCGCUUUCGGGCGUUGGCUCCGGCCAACCGCGCCUGCCAGAGGACCCAAACUCGUCUGUUUAGUGAUGUCUGAGUACUAUAUAAUAGUUAAAACUUUCAACAACGGAUCUCUUGGUUCUG